CCUGAGACUAGAGCCACAUCCUGACGUGGUUACUUGUCCUGGUGAGCUAAAGUUCUCAAAGAGGAUCUGCUGGUCACUGGUGGGGGAUCAGAGGAUCACUGGUGGGGGCUGUCAGUACCCCUGUUAGUGCCCAUCAGAAACAUGU
rnacentral:snoRNA from 1 species